rnacentral:rRNA from 1 species
AACGCGAAGAACCUUACCUGGGUUUGACAUGCACUUGACAGUGUCAGAGAUGACAUCUUCUCGCAAGAGACGAGUGCACAGGUGCUGCAUGGCUGUCGUCAGCUCGUGCCGUGAGGUGUUGGGUUAAGUCCCGCAACGAGCGCAACCCUUGUCGUUAGUUGCCAGCACGUAAUGGUGGGCACUCUAGCGAGACUGCCUGGGUGAACCAGGAGGAAGGUGAGGAUGACGUCAAGUCCGCAUGGCCUUUAUAUCCAGGGCUACACACGUGCUACAAUGGUCGGUACAAUAGGCAGCAAUAUCGCGAGAUGGAGCAAAUCCUUGAAAGCCGGCCCCAGUUCAGAUUGGAGUCUGCAACUCGACUCCAUGAAGAUGGAAUUGCUAGUAAUGGCGAGUCAGCAACAUCGCCGUGAAUACGUUCCCGGGCCUUGUA